rnacentral:rRNA from 1 species
UCCUACGGGGGGCUGCAGUCGAGGAUCUUCGGCAAUGGGCGCAAGCCUGACCGAGCGACGCCGCGUGUGGGAUGAAGGCCCUUGGGUUGUAAACCACUGUCAGGGGGGACGAAAUGCGCGCGGGUACUCCCGUGCGUUUGACAGAGCCCCAGAGGAAGCACGGGCUAAGUUCGUGCCAGCAGCCGCGGUAAUACGAACUGUGCAAACGUUAUUCGGAAUCACUGGGCUUAAAGGGUGCGUAGGCGGCUUAUUAAGCAGGGUGUGAAAGCCCCCGGCUCAACCGGGGAAUAGCGCUCUGAACUGAUGAGCUGGAGCGAGGCAGGGGUGCGCGGAACUUCCAGUGGAGCGGUGAAAUGUGUUGAUAUUGGAAGGAACACCGGAGGCGAAAGCGGCGCACUGGGUCUUGUCUGACGCUGAGGCACGAAAGCCAGGGGAGCAAACGGGAUUAGAUACCCUGGUAGUCCACGCCCUAAACGAUGUCUACUAGUUGUUGGUGGAGUGAAAUCCAUUAGUAACGCAGCUAACGCGUGAAGUAGACCGCCUGGGGAGUACGGUCGCAAGAUUAAAACUCAAAGGAAUUGACGG